CUUCUUUAUAUAUUACAUUGUACCUAUGGAUAUCAACUAUGUAGUCUAAUGGGAAAUUGUGCUACAGGGGUUUAUAUAUCAUUUAUUGAAGAGUUAUUAGGUGGCAGUCUUUUGGAUAGGAGUCACCUAAUGUCAACACGUGACUUGGCCAGCUUUACAACAUUUUAUUUACUGAUACUUCAUGACUAAGUUAUAGAUACAAAGUUAUGUUGUCGAAGUAGGUAAUAGCAGAAUUACAUUCACAUAUACCAAGAAAGAGGAGAACUCACUUUGACGUGCAAAAGGACUUUCUUCAUAGAUUAAGUGUUGUAGUGGAGUUUUCUCAAAUUUGGCAUCAGAUCAUUGAGCUCGGACUAAAGGCUAAAGGGGCGACGAAGCGAACUUGGUUACGGUUAACCUAUAAAAGGUACAGAUAGUUGGUUUGGUGACCCUUCAGCAUAGGACUUCUACUCAGCUAUCUUGGAGAGCUCCGUUGUUUCGGAGUUUAGACUUUCAGUACAGAUCUUGUGAGAUAUAUAUGUAUAUGUUAUCCAGGGGUACGGCGGGGCCCUGUCCCGUCAUAUGUUACUGUUGAUAUUCUUAGAGGUCUGUAGACAUAUGUGUGGGUUGUGUAUGGGUUCUGUUCAGCUGUGUCUAUACGAUGUGCUGUGGUAUGAUGUUCGUCUAUAGUGGCAGCCUUGUCGGCUUGCAUAUGAUAUUGAUAUGUGAUGGCGGCCUUGUCGGCUUGCGUAUUAUUUCAUGAUAUGAUCAGUUGUGACUCCUCAGGAGACAGUGUAUCUGAAUAUACAUAUAUGAUGAGGCUAUGAACCUUCAGAGUUCUUUCGUAAAGUUCCAUAUUGUUCGUAGUU